rnacentral:rRNA from 1 species
GAUGAACGCUGGCGGCGUGCCUAAUACAUGCAAGUCGAACGCAUUGAGAGAAGUGCUUGCACUUUUCAAUUUGAGUGGCGAACGGGCGAGUAACACGUGGGCAACCUACCUGAUAGCGGGGGAUAACGAGUGGAAACAUUCGCUAAUACCGCAUAACAAUAGAGAAGGCAUCUUCUUUAUUUAAAAGGCGCUUUCACGCGUCACUAUCAGAUGGGCCCGCGGUGCAUUAGUUAGUUGGUGGGGUGAAGGCCUACCAAGACGAUGAGGCAUAGCCGAGUUGGAAGACUGAUCGGCCACAUUGGGGCUGAGACAAGGCCCAAACUCCUACGGGGGGCUGCAGUAGGGAAUCUUCCACAAUGGACGAAAGUCUGAUGGAGCAACGCCGCGUGUGUGAUGAAAGCUUUCGGGUCGUAAAGCACUGUUGUAUGGGAAGAAAUGCUAGGCUAGGAAAUGAGCUUAGUUUGACGGUACCAUACCAGAAAGGGACGGCUAAAUACGUGCCAGCCGCCGCUGUAA